GUACUUAGCUGGCAGGGGAGAUGAGACACCUUGAUCAUGAAGGAGGUUUUCCCAGGGCGAGGCUCAUCCAUUGCACUGCAGGUGUGCUGACCCCUGAUAUUUCCCCAAAUGUGGGAAACUCAACUGCAUAAUUUGUGGUAGUGGGGGACUGCGUGCGCACUUUUA